rnacentral:rRNA from 1 species
AUUUUGGACAAUGGGGGAAACCCUGAUCCAGCCAUCACGCGUGUAUGAUGAAGGCCUUCGGGCUGUAAAGUACUUUUGGCAGAGAAGAAAAGGUAUCUCCUAAUACGAGAUACUGCUGACGGUAUCUGCAGAAUAAGCACCGGCUAACUACGUGCGAGCAGCCGCGGUAAUCAGUAGGGUGCAAGCGUUAAUCGGAAUUACUGGGCUUAAAUCGUGUGUAGGCGGUGCGGAAAGAAAGAUGUGAAAUCCCAGGGCUCAACCUUGGAACUGCAUUUUUAACUGACGAGCUAGAGUAUGUCAGAGGGAGGUAGAAUUCCACGUGUAGCAGUGAAAUGCGUAGAUAUGUGGAGGAAUACCGAUGGCGAAGGCAGCCCCCUGGGAUAAUACUGACGCUCAGACACGAAAGCGUGGGGAGCAAACAGG